ACAGACAUCGCGAGCCGGUGAAAGGUGAAGGAAAUAAAACGAAAGACACAUAUUUGAGGAAUAAAACUUUUUUUUCUAUUUUUGGAGGAUUUUGUGUUCAGCCUCUUUCUACGCUGCUGGUUUCUGGCUCUGUCUAAGUUUUUAACAAGGAUUUGGCCAGGUUUUGGUUGUGAGGAUCGUUCUGAAGCUGGAGAAUGAAGAUGGCAGCCACCUGUAGGAAAAAUAGUGUUGGACAGGCGUCUGCUUCCUCAGGACCAACCUACACUCCAAGGAUUAAGACACUGAUUCUUUCACCUGAGUCAUGAACAUGCAGUUCCCUCCCUGUCCAGCAGUUGUCCUCAGUGUGUUGCCACCUUUCAACAUCAACUGUCCCCCCACACCCACCUGCACACCUGCUCCACAUUCCCUCAUCAGCUCCCCAGCAUACCUGGCCUUCAGUUAUUGUUUGCUGCCAUCUGUGCUGCCAAAGUGUUCCAGCCUUUUUGUCCUCCUGUUCCUGCUCGCUUUGAUAAUGACCCCUUACCUGCUUUGUUGCCCACCUGCUUUGCCACACUGGACCACCUGUUCUGACUGCCUGUUAACCAAACUCUGUUUUCACAGAGAGUGUCGCACUCACAGCUGAUCAGACGCCAGCGGAGCGGAGUGGAGCAGUCUCUUCAUGAUGACUGAAACAGUGUGGGAUUACAUCUCCUAAGAUGUUGUUCUUGUCUGCAAAUACCUGCAAAGCAAAGACAAGCCAGGCAUCUAGCAAAACCAGCCAUUUGUUCAUUUCUAGAAUUUGUUGACAGUGUGUUAUAAUGUCAAGUUUUCUUCA